rnacentral:rRNA from 1 species
UACGGAGGGAGCUAGCGUUGUUCGGAAUUACUGGGCGUAAAGCGCACGUAGGCGGCUUUGUAAGUUAGAGGUGAAAGCCUGGGGCUCAACUCCAGAACUGCCUUUAAAACUGCAUCGCUUGAAUCCAGGAGAGGUGAGUGGAAUUCCGAGUGUAGAGGUGAAAUUCGUAGAUAUUCGGAAGAACACCAGUGGCGAAGGCGGCUCACUGGACUGGUAUUGACGCUGAGACGCGAAAGCGUGGGGAGCGAACAGG